rnacentral:rRNA from 1 species
CCUACGGGUGGCAGCAGUGAGGAAUAUUGGUCAAUGGCCGAGAGGCUGAACCAGCCAAGUCGCGUGCGGGAUGAAUGUCCUACGGAUUGUAAACCGCUUUUGUCAGGGAACAAAGUCACCCACGUGUGGGGGUUUGAGUGUACCUGAUGAAAAAGCAUCGGCUAACUCCGUGCCAGCAGCCGCGGUAAUACGGAGGAUGCGAGCGUUAUCCGGAUUUAUUGGGUUUAAAGGGAGCGUAGGCGGGUUAUCAAGUCAGCGGUAAAAUCGCGGAGCUCAACUCCAUCCAGCCGUUGAAACUGAUGAUCUUGAGUGGGCGGAAAGCAUGCGGAAUGCGUGGUGUAGCGGUGAAAUGCAUAGAUAUCACGCAGAACUCCGAUUGCGAAGGCAGCAUGCUGGCGCCCGACUGACGCUGAAGCACGAAAGCGUGGGUAUCGAACAGGAUUAGAUACCCGUGUAGUC